rnacentral:rRNA from 1 species
UGAGGAAUAUUGGUCAAUGGGCGCAAGCCUGAACCAGCCAAGUCGCGUGAGGGAAGACUGUCCUAUGGAUUGUAAACCUCUUUUUUAAGGGAAGAAUAAACACUACGUGUAGUGUGAUGCCUGUACCUUACGAAUAAGCAUCGGCUAACUCCGUGCCAGCAGCCGCGGUAAUACGGAGGAUUCGAGCGUUAUCCGGAAUUACUGGGUGUAAAGGGAGCGUAGGCGGGAAGGUAAGUUGGGUGUGAAAACUAUUGGCUCAACCAAUAGAUUGCACUCAAAACUACUUUUCUUGAGUGAAGUAGAGGCAGGCGGAAUUCCUAGUGUAGCGGUGAAAUGCGUAGAUAUCGAGAGGAACACUCGUGGCGAAGGCGGGUUCCUGGACAUUAACUGACGCUGAGGUACGAAGGCUAGGGUAGCGAAAG